rnacentral:misc_RNA from 1 species
CCGAUCGCCGCAUGGACUGAGCCAAGAGACUCGGCCAAAACGGAAACGGACGUCGUCCGCAUGAAGCGCAGAACGCUCUUAUUUUCGGGGCAUAUAGAGGCCGAGGACCUCGUACCGCAUCGCUAUUCCACAUCCGAGAGAACCAACACAACGACAAGGGCCAACGAGUACGAUCGCGCUACAGCGAUGAAUCGUGGAACACGUCGAGUGCUUCGGUGUCCGCCCCGCACCGCAUCCCCGAAAGGCGCAGCACAAGGCGGAAAGGGGACAUCGGGGCUACAUCAUGCCUUCUCGAUAGGUAUACAACACAGGAAACCGACAUUGGUCAAGGCAAUCCGCAACUUGAGCCAACAAUUGAAGAGGCGAGAACAAGAUGCCGUCGCUGCCCGAGCAGGGAACCGACAUGCCCAUACAAGCCAAUCACCACUCACGCGCUC